rnacentral:lncRNA from 1 species
ACAAGUAUCUUUACAACAAUCCAGAGGUAACACAAUCUCAUUCGUGAUUUCAAUGGUAAAGUUGGAGAUGGUUAGUUUUUGGGAAAGCAUCUGUUUUGUCAUAGAGAAAGCAUUUGUUUAAAUGGGUUGAUGAAGCAUACUGAGAAGAUAUUAACGUGGUCAAAGAGACUGUUGAUGAUUUGAAGAAACAAGUGAUGGAUAUGGUUAAGAAGAAGAUGAAUGAGAAGAUUGACAAGUCAGCUUUGAAGACCAUUGGUUUUGUUGUUGUAAUGAUCUUAAUGGUCUGGUUUUGGGGAAGGAUUUAGGUCUUCCUUUGUUCAUGUUUUAGAUUAAAUCGUGUUGUUUAUGUGACUGACUUGUUGGUGUCUAUGUGAUUUAUAUGCUGUAACAAUUCCGAUGUCAAUGAAAUUUAAAUGGUCCGAACAAACUAAACAUGCAACAAAACAUGAAAAAAAUAAAAACCUGCAACUAAACUUGAAAAUUCUUCAAACCUGCAACUAAACUUGAAAAAUAUAAAAACCUGCAACUAAAAAUAGCAUUUGAACCUGCGAACACUCACUUAAAACCUGUAGCUAAAAAAAUAAACAUCUAAUAGCAUUUAAUCCUGCAUUUUAUAAACUUGAUAGAAUUUGAAUCCAAAAA